rnacentral:rRNA from 1 species
UACGUAGGGUGCAAGCGUUUAAUCGGAAUACUGGCGUAAGCGUGCGCAGGCGGUUUGUAAGUUUGUCGUGAAAGCCCCGGGCUCAACCUGGGAAUUGCGAUGAAGACUGCAAGGCUUGAAUCUGGCAGAGGGGGGUAGAAUUCCACGUGUAGCAGUGAAAUGCGUAGAGAUGUGGAGGAAUACCGAGUGCGAAGGCAGCCCCCUGGGCCAAUACGUGACGCUCAUGCACGAAAGCGUGGGGAGCAAACAGG